GGAGAGAACCCUUAGAGAGGCUC
rnacentral:snRNA from 1 species